ACAACGAAGAAGAGGAAUUUAAACUUAGGUCAUAUCAAACAAGGUGAUUUCCAAAAGCCCCGGUGAGACUGGGUGCCAUUUAUCAGAAUCUCCCUCUGCCACCCAGGCUGGAGUACAGUGGCACCAUCUUGGCUCACUACAACAACUGCUUCUCAGGUUCAAGCGAUUCUUGUGCCUCAGCCUCCCGAGUAGUUGGGAUUAAACGUGUGCACCACAA